rnacentral:rRNA from 1 species
CGCCUUUUGGUAGCUCCGUCCAGUGUGAACUUUCCACUCUCACACUCGUUCUUGACUUACAACAGAGCUUUACGAUCCGAAAACCUUCUUCACUCACGCGGCGUUGCUCGGUCAGGGUUGCCCCCAUUGCCGAAGAUUCCCUACUGCUGCCUCCCGUAGGAGU